GCGCAAGCGAAUUAAGGGCGCAUGGGGGAUACCUAGGCUCUCAGAGGCGAAGAAGGACGUGAUAAGCUGCGAAAAGCUAUGGGGAGCAGCACAUAUGCAUUGAUCCAUAGAUGUCCGAAUGGGGCAACCCAAUCAGGUGAAGCCUGAUUACCCUACGGGGGGCAAACGCGGGGAACUGAAACAUCUAAGUACCCGCAGGAGAAGAAAACAAUAGUGAUUCCGUAAGUAGUGGCGAGCGAACACGGAGAAGCCCAAACCACUUUGGUUACGGCCAGAGUGGGGUUGUAGGACCCACCAAGUGGAUAAAUAGCGAACUGGAAUGGCAUGGGAAGGCCAAUCGUAGAGGGUGAGAAUCCCGUACAGGCAGUGAGUUUAUCUGAGUGGGUAUCCUGAGUAAGUGGGGACCGGUGGAAUCCCCUCUGAAUCCGGCGGCACCAUCCGCCAAGGCUAAAUACUCCUGAGAGACCGAUAGUGAACGAGUACCGUGAGGGAAAGGUGAAAAGUACCGUGAGCAACGGGGUGAAAUAGAACUUGAAACCAUGCGCUUACAAGCGGUCGGAGCCUACGGGUGACGGCGUGCCUUUUGCAUAAUGAGCCUACGAGUUACGGUUACUGGCAAGGUUAAUGUUUGAAGAACAGGAGCCGAAGCGAAAGCGAGUCUGAAUAGGGCGAUUAGUCAGUGGCCGUAGACGCGAAACUUUGUGAUCUACCCUUGGUCAGGUUGAAGCGCUGGUAACACAUCGUGGAGGACCGAACCGGUAAACGUUGAAAAGUUUUCGGAUGAACUGAGGGUAGGGGUGAAAGGCCAAUCAAACUGAGAAAUAGCUCGUACUCCCCGAAAUGUUUUUAGGAACAGCGUUGUGGUCGAGUCAUGUUCAGGUAGAGCUACUGAUAGGACUAGGGGGAGUCAAAUCCUACCAAAUUCUGACAAACUCCGAAUGGGGCAUGAUAUACACGGCAGUGAGGGCUGGGGUGCUAAGGUCCCAGUCCGAGAGGGGAACAACCCAGAGCAUCAGCUAAGGUCCCAAAAUAUAUGCUAAGUUGAACUAAGGGGGUCCGACUGCAGAGACAGCCAGGAUGUUAGCUUGGAAGCAGCUAUACAUUUAAAGAGUGCGUAACAGCUCACUGGUCGAGCGGGGCGGGCAUCGAUAAUAAACGGGCAUCAAGCAUAUUACCGAAGCUAUGCGAUAGUAGAAAUACUGAUCGGUAGGGGAGCAUUCUCACAGGGGUGAAGGUAUGGCGUAAGCUGUGCUGGACUGGUGAGAAAAGCAAAUGUAGGCAUAAGUAACGAUAAUGCGGAUGAGAAAUCCGCACACCGAAAGACUAAGGAUUCCUCCGCUAUGCUAAUCAACGGAGGGUUAGGCGGGGCCUAAGGGAUAGCCGACAGGCGACCCCCGAUGGACAGCAGGUUAAUAUUCCUGCCCCUGCAUGCAGUGUGAAAGAGUGACGGAGCGACGUGGAUGUUACGUACUGACGGAAUAGUGCGUUGAGCCGAGCCUACGGGCAAAGCGAAGCAUCGAAGACGCUUCCAAGAAAAGCUUUUGAAACGCCAGCUGUAUGCAGCCCGUACCGUAAACCGACACAGGUAGUCGAGAAGAAUAUUCUAAGGUGCUCGAGUGAAUCACGGCUAAGGAACUCGGCAAAUUAACCCUGUAACUUCGGGAGAAGGGGAGCCUCCUCUGCAAAGAGAGGCCGCAGAGAAAUGGCCCAGGCGACUGUUUAGCAAAAACACAGGGCUCUGCCAAAACGAAAGUUGACGUAUAGGGCCUGACACCUGCCCGGUGCUGGAAGGUUAAGAGGGGAUGUCAUCGCAAGAGAAGCAUUGAAUCGAAGCCCCAGUAAACGGCGGCC
rnacentral:rRNA from 1 species